AGAAGCUUUGAUAACAAGUUUACUGAGGGAAAAACUGUACGCGAAAGAGGUAGAUGUAGAGCGGCUGGAGGCUGAGCUGGCAACUGCUGUCAGAGGAAACGAUAUUCUGAGAUGUGAAGUUGAAAAUGCAAUGGAUACGCUUUCUUGUAUAACUCACAAGAUGAAAGAGCUUGAGAUGCAGGUAGGCAAUUCUGGAAAACAAACGAACCCUAAUUUUAGAAAACAAAACUAAUUUGUGUUAACAAACAGGUGAUGAAAAAGGAUGAGGGGAUUUAUCGACUGCAAAACAAUCUGCAGGAUUGCAAAAAGGAACUGUCGAUUGUGAAUGGGAUCUUACCGAAAGUUUCAGAGGAACGGGAUAUGAUGUGGGAGGAGGUGCAGAGGUACAGCGAGAAUAACAUGCUUUUGAGUUCGGAAGUUGGGAUGUUGAAGAAGAAGGUGGAAGCGCUUGAUGAGGAUGUGUUGAUGAAAGAAGGUCAGAUUACGAUUCUGAAAGAUGCGCUUGGGAAGCCCUUUGAUCUUCUUUCCAGUCCUGUUCCUAGCGGAGGAGGAUUCUUGUUAUAAUAGUUACUUUCUCGCUGUUCAUACGCCAAUAAUUUUG
rnacentral:lncRNA from 1 species